UACAGUUUAGUAUCGAUCAGACUGUGCUGCUGUGAGUGUGUGCACUGAGCCAGUGUGAUUAUAAAUAAAAUAUCACUGCUGUCAAAGACCCAACACACACUCUACUGAGGUGAUAGAAGUAACCACAUAACACAGAGGAAGUCCAUUAACACUAAACCACUACAUAAUUAAACUACACAAUGUAUUCAACUGAUGGAGUGAUAUUUUUAUAUUACACCUUAAGUAUUGAUAUUUUAGCAUAUAUUUUCUUAACUAAUGUUACAAAUAAACUUUUUGUUCAUUAGAUGAUGCCAAGUGCUCGUUCUCACUAGAGCUGUUGUGUGACUUCAUCCCAAUACAUGCUUUCGCAAACCCUAUCGUUAUAAUCAUAUCGUGACUUAUAUAUCGUGAUAAUCGUGGCGUCUCUGGCGAUUCCCACCCCUAUUAUUAAAGUAGACACCUCUCUGUCACUGCAGCUCCACGUGAUCAUUUACUCUAAUCAGUUUAUAGUUUAAUUUCGGGAACAACUGCUCAUCUGAGGAACAUGUGGCGUUAAAAUAAAGUCAAUAACAGACUCUUGUGAGGAGUUUGAGCAGAGUUUGUAAUGUUAGCGCGUUUUGCCUGGUUUGUCCUUCUGACUACACACACAGCUGAACGUUAACGCAGAGUUAAUGAACCCAUUACCAGAUACACACACUCACUCACGCACCCACAGAGCCAAUGUUUCACAGAGAUUUAACACAGAUCCACGCUCAGGUACCUCUAUUGCUGCCUCCAUCUGCAGCUGUCCGUCUCAGGAGCCUGGGCUGAGGUGAUGCGACUCUGGAGGCUACAAAACUCAGAGUUCAGAUUCCUGUGGGUGACGCUACGACGAUGACGUUGGC